rnacentral:rRNA from 1 species
AACGAACGCUGGCGGCAGGCUUAACACAUGCAAGUCGAACGCCCCGCAAGGGGAGUGGCAGACGGGUGAGUAACGCGUGGGAAUCUACCCAGAUCUUCGGAACAACUGAGGGAAACUUCAGCUAAUACCGGAUACGCCCUACGGGGGAAAGAUUUAUCGGAUCUGGAUGAGCCCGCGUUGGAUUAGCUAGUUGGUGAGGUAAUGGCUCACCAAGGCGACGAUCCAUAGCUGGUCUGAGAGGAUGAUCAGCCACACUGGGACUGAGACACG